rnacentral:rRNA from 1 species
GGAAGUCGUUGUAAUGAAAUAGACGGACGAGAACUUGUUCGAAGUGGCGGACUGGUGAGUAACGCGUAAGGAACCUGCCUUCUAGAGGGGAAUAACAAUGAGAAAUCAUUGCUAAUACCGCAUACUAGAAGAUGGCCUUGCGUCUGAUUAGAUAGUUGGUGGGGUAACGGCCUACCAAGUCGACGAUCAGUAGCCGGACUGAAGGUUGAACGGCCACAUUGGGACUGAGAUACGGCCCAGACUCCUACGGGAGGCAGCAGUCGGGAAUAUUGCGCAAUGGAGGAAACUCUGACGCAGUGACGCCGCGUAUAGGAAGAAGGUUUUCGGAUUGUAAACUAUUGCGUUAGGGAAGCAGUACCUAAGGAGGAAGCUCCGGCUAACUACGUGCCAGCAGCCGCGGUAAUACGUAGGGAGCGAGCGUUAUCCGGAAUUAUUGGGUGUAAAGGGUGUGUAGACGGGAAGAUAAGUUAGUUGUGAAAUCCCUCGGCUUAACUGAGGAACUGCAACUAAGACUGUUUUUCUUGAGUGCAGGAGAGGUAAGUGGAAUUCCUAGUGUAGCGGUGAAAUGCGUAGAUAUUAGGAGGAACACCAGUGGCGAAG